rnacentral:rRNA from 1 species
UACAGAGGUCUCAAGCGUUGUUCGGAUUCAUUGGGCGUAAAGCGUGCGCAGACGGUUGCGUAAGUCAGAUGUGAAAGCCCCGGGCUCAACCUGGGGAUUGCAUUUGAGACUGCGUAGCUAGGGUGCGGAAGAGGGAAGCGGAAUUUCCGGUGUAGCGGUGAAAUGCGUAGAUAUCGGAAGGAACACCAGUGGCGAAAGCGGCUUCCUGGUCCAGCACCGACGUUCAGGCACGAAAGCGUGGGGAGCAAACAGG